rnacentral:rRNA from 1 species
AUAUUGCACAAUGGAGGGAACUCUGAUGCAGCGACGCCGCGUGAACGAUGAAGGCNUUNNGGUCGNANAGUUCUGUCCUAGGGNNNNNUAAUGACGGUACCCUAGGAGGAAGCCCCGGCUAACUACGUGCCAGCAGCCGCGGUAAUACGUAGGGGGCGAGCGUUGUCCGGAAUUAUUGGGCGUAAAGGGUUCGUAGGCGGUCUUUUAAGUCAGAUGUGAAAGGUCACGGCUCAACCGUGGUAAGCAUUUGAAACUGAGAGACUUGAGUUAAGGAGAGGAAAGUGGAAUUCCUAGUGUAGCGGUGAAAUGCGUAGAUAUUAGGAGGAAUACCAGUGGCGAAGGCGACUUUCUGGACUUAAACUGACGCUGAGGAACGAAAGCGUGGGGAGCAAACAGG